UGUUAACGCCAGGAUCUUUCUCCACGUCCCAAUCACGUAAGACGUCCUGAUCCUGCACAGUAAACACAGUCAACACCGAAAGCUUGACGGCGGUUCCGUCGGGGGAUAGCUCAGGCGUGAGAAUUAGAAUGUGUUCAUAAAGUUAACAAUGGAGGAAUGUAUGGUCUAGUGUAUUGAGAGAGAUAAUAAUUCUCAGUUGUGUGUGUAUGGGAGAAUAUGAAUAAUCAAUAUAUGUGAGAACGUACCUCUAUACGAGGGCUUCCUUGCUAUGUUAUACUACCCCUGCUUGGAUUAUUGCGCCACCCACUAUCACCUGACACCUCCUCUGACCUGAUGGACUCUGCCGAUUGUAUAAGGUUUAUCCACUGCUUUUGGUCACUGUUUUCUACCGC
rnacentral:lncRNA from 1 species